GGGAGGUGAAUAAGGUUGUGCAGCGGAAGGAGAGAAGAGGACAGCAGGAGAGGAGGAGCAGAGUCAUUGCUGCAGGGCAGUGAGGGGGGCUGGGGAGGGGCAGAUGUGCUGAGUGAGCACUGAGUAGCAUAGGAGAGGAGACAGGGAGCAAGCUCUGAGAGAGCCACGUGAGGCCUUGAAGAUGAAAUGAGAACUGAACUUUGAUGUAGAAGGAGUCUGGGAGUCAGCACAGGGAUUCAAGAAGAGGAAAUGACACAAGUGGAACAGCAGUCCUGGGUUUUUCCACUGUGAAGCCAAGCCAACCUGUGUUUUUCUAGCACUCAGUACAAAUGUUACAAAAUACAGGAUUGGACAUUAUACCUCACUGGAAGAGUUCAAAUCUGGUAGCAUCCAUGCUGACCAGAGACAACUUCACUGCCCCUGCUCCAGGACUCUGAGGAUGGGCUAUGAUACUGUGAUUUAUCCAGCCUAACCCUUUGCCAACAGUAAGCAGGCUCCCAGUGAGUUCAAGAGAUGGUGUCUGAAGAACCCAGCAUGACCUCGAACAAAACCUGUAUGACACAGCAGUACCUGAUAGAACCAGCGCAAAAUCCUCUCGAUAACCUAGCAUGACCCACAAGACUGACCCUGUGACAACAUCUGAUUUAUGGCAAAUGACAUGGAUUUAAUCACUCACUGGAGAAUGCUGAAUGACGCAGCACAGCGUUGCUCACUGUGGCUCUACUGAACUGGCACGCUCCGAUUGGCUUUGGGAACACACCCAUUGGGUGAUU